GAUGAACGCUGGCGGCGUGCCUAAUACAUGCAAGUCGAGCGAAUGGAUUAAGAGCUUGCUCUUAUGAAGUUAGCGGCGGACGGGUGAGUAACACGUGGGUAACCUGCCCAUAAGACUGGGAUAACUCCGGGAAACCGGGGCUAAUACCGGAUAACAUUUUGAACCGCAUGGUUCGAAAUUGAAAGGCGGCUUCGGCUGUCACUUAUGGAUGGACCCGCGUCGCAUUAGCUAGUUGGUGAGGUAACGGCUCACCAAGGCAACGAUGCGUAGCCGACCAGAGAGGGUGAUCGGCCACACUGGGACUGAGACACGGCCCAGACUCCUACGGGAGGCAGCAGUAGGGAAUCUUCCGCAAUGGACGAAAGUCGGACGGAGCAACGCCGCGUGAGUGAUGAAGGCUUUCGGGUCGUAAAACUCUGUUGUUAGGGAAGAACAAGUGCUAGUUGAAUAAGCUGGCACCUUGACGGUACCUAACCAGAAAGCCACGGCUAACUACGUGCCAGCAGCCGCGGUAA
rnacentral:rRNA from 1 species